CCCUCAGCCUGAUGGAGAAGAAGAGAAAGGAAAUGAGAGAGAGAGAGAGAGAGAGAGAAAGAGAGAAGUAGUAGAAGAAGAAGAAGAAAAGAUUGAAGGGUGUCCGAGAGCGUGAAUUAGGGUGCUAUACAUUUUCAUUUAGGCGCAAUUUAAGUAUUUUCGGGCAAUCGUGAGAAGGGUCACGUGUAGCAUUUCUUUUACCUGAGUCGACAUAGCGAGUCGAGGGAUAGGUGCACCAUCAGUUGAGCGAGGUAAGGGGAUUGCGCCUAGUUAGCCACCCUACCAGUAUACUUAUCUGUAGCAGACUUCCAGAUAGUGAGCAAUCGUACUUUUCUUUGGACUGGCACAGGCCAGGGCCAUUUGCUUGUACUUGAUUUUGGGCGUGAAUUUAUGUAUCUUACUACUAAUUUCUUGUUGUUCGGUGGUUCAGCUUAUGUAUAGUGCUCUGCUACUCGUCUUUUGGCUUUUCAUGACUCCUCUUAAUACUUGUAUUGUGCCCGAUGGUUUCUUGCAAUUCUUGAAAACUGUUUGAUA